rnacentral:snRNA from 1 species
GGAAGUGAGGUCAAUCUGGUUGUGACAUAUGUCACCUCAUGAAUUGCCAGGGUUGACUUGGCUGACCUAGCUGGCUAGGCUGGUGUCCUCCUCCUCCCUCUCCAUACUUUGUUCGUCCCUCCUGAGGCUGCAUGCCCAGUCAAAGAGGACAUUCUUCCCCCAAUUAGAGAAGGGCCCGUCUUCAGUCAAGAAUAUACUAGUAGCUGUGUUCCCCUGAUUGAACUCCAAACAAGCUCUCAAGGGACUACUUAAGUGAGACCAGUAAGAAUGAAAGAACUGUCAGAACAUGGUAACU